rnacentral:rRNA from 1 species
UACGUAGGGGGCGAGCGUUGUCCGGAAUCAUUGGGCGUAAAGCGCGUGUAGGCGGUCCGGUAAGUCCGCUGUGAAAGUCGGGGGCUCAACCCUCGGAUGCCGGUGGAUACUGUCGGGCUUGAGUACGGAAGAGGCGAGUGGAAUUCCUGGUGUAGCGGUGAAAUGCGCAGAUAUCAGGAGGAACACCAGUGGCGAAGGCGGCUACCUGGCACAUAACUGACGCUGAUACGCGAAAGCGUGGGGAGCGAACCGG